GACGAACGCUGGCGGCGUGCUUAACAUAUGCAAGUCGAACGGAAAGGCCCUGUUUGCUGGGUACUCGAGUGGCGAACGGGUGAGUAAAACGUGGGUGAUCUGCCCUGCACUUCGGGAUAAGCUUGGGAAACUGGGUCUAAUACCGGAUAGGAGCAUUCUUCAGUGUGGUGGUUGGAAAGUUUUUUCGGUGUAGGAUGAGCUCGCGGCCUAUCAGCUUGUUGGUGGGGUAAUGGCCUACCAAGGCGGCGACGGGUAGCCGGCCUGGGAGGGUGUACGGCCACAUUGGGACUGAGAUACGGCCCAGACUCCUACGGGAGGCAGCAGUGGGGAAUAUUGCACAAUGGGCGCAAGCCUGAUGCAGCGACGCCGCGUGGGGGAUGAAGGCCUUCGGGUUGUAAACUCCUUUCGCUAGGGACGAAGCUUUGUUGUGACGGUACCUAGAUAAGAAGCACCGGCUAACUACGUG
rnacentral:rRNA from 1 species